rnacentral:lncRNA from 1 species
AUGGGGAGGACACAUGGGUUCACCUGUACCCCUGCAGGGCCCUGUGGCCCCUUCUCCCUUUACUGCAGGCUCUUGGGUAUAUGUAGCUUCCAUUGCUUGCCAUUGUUUCCUCCUUGCAGGGGAUUCGUGGUGGUCGGGGCAUUGGCAUCACCCUAUGGAACAGCCCUUGUGAUGCAAGGCUUGGGAGGGAGCUCCUCCCAUUGGUCUGAACUGGGGAAGGCCCAGCUCCCACCUCGUGCUGGGUGUCCCAGUCGCUGGGUGACCAUCCUCAGACCCAGCGCUGUCACCAGGAGCAGAGCAUCGCCCUUCACACACCAUUACUCCUCACCCCCAGAGCCUUUUCAUCUCUUAUCAGCCGUGACCCUCGGGCUCUGUUAUCUCCCCCCAGCCAUCCACCGAAGCCUUAGAGCUGUCAGCAUGGGGAAUGACCUUCACCUCCUCACUCACCUCCAGGAGAUGCUGUGUCCGCUCGGCCGGGCGCAUGGUUGGCUGCAGCAGCACUGCCUGCUGCCCGGAGCCAGGUGCUUUCCCACCCUGGGGAGUUGAAGAGGAGGUGGCAGCGUUGGCUGUGGGUUGUUUCUGAACUCGCCCAUGGAUUGCUAAUGAUGUUUGUGAAAGCCCUGAAUGAAGACCACACACGGGAGGCUCAGGCAAGUGAUGUACCUUAGACCUGGAGGGUGAGAGGGAAAAAUGCUUUUGUGCCUGACUCACCGGCUCUGUGCUAACACUGACUCAUAAUUACUGAUUUUGAUUCAGGGGAAAAAAAAA